CCCCUCUCCCGAAUGCCAAAUAUGUCAUUACAAUUCCUAUUCAAAUCCAAUCAAACCAUGAUUACUACAAACGCCACCGUAUUGCCGUGCUCCUAUAUACAGGUUUGAGGCUUAGCUCCCUUUAAGCAAAUAUUUAUCCCUCCAGCCAGGAUGACUUUAUUGCAGUUUGUGAUUAUAUAUGGGUCUGUGAGAGGAGUGUGUCAACCGUGCAUGCUCCACAAUGUGCCUGGAGAGAUUGAUGUUUUGUCAUCCACCUGCUUCAAAGCUGUAAAACCCGGGAGGCAGCAGCAAACGGAGAGACCUACCCAGCCCGGGAAAAAAACAAACAAAGAGAGACCUUACUGGUGCUGUUUACACAUCUGUGUGGAGGACUAUCUGGGCUUGUGUGUUUUGACAUCGCGCUCAAAUGGCUGCACGGCUCCUGUCUCAGUGAAACGGAAGAUGUAGAGGAGCUGAAUGCUGGAGAGUGAUUGAAGGAGUGAAGCUGAGCCCUGGAUGGAGGGAUCUGCUGGAGGAAAGGAGAGAGAGAGUGUCGGCGGAACUGGGCCACAGCAUCCGAGCUGGGAGACCUGAGAGAAGAGAUGGGAGAGGGCGGCUCCGCUGACUGGAGGAGUACCAGCUGGUCUCAAACAGAUAAUCUGGUGGAUUUACAUGUAUAUGGUGAAACAGAUCGGGACAAGGAAGAGUGGAGAGCAUGAAGAUGACGGCAGGCUUCACGAGACAGUGGGAAUUGUGACGGACAGGACAUGAACCAUGUCUCUUCAGUCUGUGAAGUGAAGAAAGAGAAAGACACCCAAUUACCGGGUUACAAGGCUCGGAGCAAUUAAGGAAAUGUACAGUUCAGACGAGGUUCAGGGUUUCAACAAGGCCCGUCAGACACACACCGAGAGCCUCAUAAAACUAUGACUCAUAUUUUGCGCCCUGUAAAGUCACAGCGAAUGGCCAUGUCUGAGAAAAGGCAACGCCCAGGCCAACCCAGCCCAGCCCAGCCCACGCCAGCCCAGGCCAGGCCAGGCCAGGCCAGGCCAGGCCAGUCCACAUUCAUUAGCCGGUGGCUCUCUCUCCCGGAGCUGCCUGCUGCCUGUCUGCCUGUUUGCUGACUGCUUGUGGAAAAAGCCAUUUAGCCUGCUGAAUGUCAAGAGGACCUGACCCCUAGGACCAUGCCUCAGGACUACCUGGAAUGAUGACUCCUUGCUGUCCCCAGUCCACCUGGUUGUGCUGCAGCUACAGUUUCAACUGUUCUGCCUGUGCCUAUGGAACCCCGACCUGUUCACCGGACGUGCUACCUUGUCCCAGACCUGCUGUUUUCAACUCUCUACAAACAACAGGUGUGGUAGAGAUACUCUGAAUGAUCGGCCAUGAAAAGCCAACUGACAUUUACUCCUGAGGUGCUGACCUGUUGCACCCUCUACAACCACUGUGAUUAUUAUUAUCUGACCCUGCUGGUCAUCUAUGAAUGUUUGAACAUCUUGGCCAUGUUCUGUUAUAAUCUCCACCCAGCACAGCCAGAAGAGGACUGGCCACCCCACAUAGCCUGGUUCGUCUCUAGGUUUCUUCCUAGGUUCCGGCCUUUCUAGGGAGUUUUUCCUAGCCACCUUGCUUCUACACCUGCACUGCUUGCUGUUUGGGGUUUUAGGCUGGGUUUCUGUACAGCACUUUGUGACAUCACUUGAUGUAAGAAGUGCUUCAUAAAUACAUUUGAUUGAUUGAUUGUAGCGCCUUGCGGUCAGAUGCCAAGCAGUUGCCGUACCAAGUGGUGAUGCAGCAAGUCAAGAUGAUCUCAAUGGAGCAGUUGUAGAACUUUUUGCCAAAUAUUCUCAGCCUACUGAGGGGGAAGAGGCAUUGUCAUGCCUUCUUCUGUGUUGGUGUGCGUGGACCAUGUCAAUUCCUUAGUGAUGUGGACACCGAGGAACUUGAAGCUCUCAACCCGCUCCACCUCAGCACCGUCGAUGUGGAUGGGGUUCAUGCUCAGCCUUCCGUUUCCUGUAGUCAACGUGCAUUUUACUGGUAACAAAGUUCUCCCCCUCUUCCUCAGCCUCAUCAUCCUCAUCGCCACCGCGAGCGUAAACACAAAACUCUUCGUUCUAACAAACCUUGAAAUUCCAGAUAUAAAGGUACAGUAUGUAAAUGUUCCCUGUCAGAGAAGCUCAGCUCCGGUCUGCGUUAUGUUUAGCACUCUCUCCCCUGAGAGUACCCCACUGCACUGAGCCAUGGAAAUGUCAGCGGUCAAGUUUACAUGGGAAAAGUUGGAAAGCUAAACCGCCGGUCACCCUGGGCCACAGAAAAGGUCAGUGCCUUGUCAACAGCUGGUGGAUAUGUCACUUUGAACCCCCCCCCAGUCACAGUUAGAAUCAUCCAUGUGAUGUCACCUCUCUUCUGCUUCCAUCCUUCUCUGCAUGGGCCACAUUUUUGUGGCAAUCAGAAUUAAAUGUAAUAAGUAAUUUUCCAUACAGUGCUUAACAACGAGAACAAAGGCUACUGCAUAGUAUAGGAAAGCAUUUUUAUGUAAUGUCUUAUAGUAAAUGUUCACUGUUCAACAUCAGAACCAUUCCAGGCAGAAAUACUGCAUUGUAACAGGAGCUAGUAACAUAAGCACUUCGCUGCACUCACUUUAACAUCAGCUAACCUGUGUACGUGACCAAUACACUUUGAUUUGAUUUGAUUUAAGUCGCCCUUAGACACAGAUCUGUGAUCAUUUUACCCUCCCCAAAUCCUAACUGUUUUGGGGGUUAAACGCAAAUCUGACCUUAGGGACGACUUCCUUCUACCAUCAGGACCAGGGCAUUAUGAUUCAUUAUUAAUCAUCAGUCUAAGUAUCACAGCAGGUAAGAAGGAGUAGGAAGGGAGAUAGCAGCAUGCUGCCUGGGUUUGGUGCCAAAAACGCCAUUCCCCAAUCUCUUCUUCUCCCUUUCCACUCUCCUUCUGUUUCUCUUUUUACUCCCGCUUUCUUCCAUUCUGAAAGCUGUGCAGCUUGAUCUUUAAUCUCACCCCCUCUCCUCCCUUUUCUCCUUCCCCCACUCCUCAUCUCUCCUCCCCUCUCUCUGCAGACACGGGUGUGUUGCUCUUCGCUAUAGGGGGUAAGAUGUGGAGGUCUGGUCUUACACAGCUAACAUAUGUCAGAACACCUGAGCAGCAGCUAGCCCUCCCCAUUCCCUCCUUACGACCUGCUCCCCUCCGCUCCUCUGCCACUCCUGGGUUAAUGUGCCCCCCAGCCGUGUGGCAGGGCGAGCUGGCGCGCUUCCCUCUCGCCCGGCCAGCCCCCACGCUGGGCGACCACGGCCAACCGACAGCAUCCAUCGCCCCGACAUGACGGAUCACAUAUGGAAGCCUUCCACCACCACCGGCGCACCGGCAGAUAGGGGGCAGGGGGAGGAUGGAUGGGAGGAGAGAGAGGGGGGGAGUUGGUUUUAACAUGGCAUAUAGAGAAUCAAGGUUCUACGCAGCAUUAAACCACACAGCAGAGGAAGAAAAGCGGUCUUCUCCAAACAAAGUUUCCCCCCAAUUAACAGUACCCCCUGUUACACCAAAGGUUCUCAAAGGUCAGAAGAUUUUGACCCAAAGGGACAGAAAAGGAAGGAGAUACACCUUAAAAGAAUAGACAGACAGAGACACAAAGACAGAGAGAGAGACAGAAGGUGAAUGGGGGUGAGUGAGGGGACAUUGAGAGAAGAAGAAGAGUGUUCAGACAGCACUUUAUCACUUGCUUUAAAACUCUCAAUCUUCCUCUCGUCUUUAGCAUUUGAAGCGCUAAGGUCCCCAGUGCCAGCAAAGGUCAGGGCUAUGAUUUAUUGGUCUCUUAUGGAGGUGCUGUCUGUAGGGCUGAGCGUUGUGCCAUACGUCUGGACACCAGCCAACAUUACUGGGUUCAAACUCAGCCAACACACUAGAACAGGCUUGGGGUCAAUGCCAUUUCAGCUCAAAAUAAUGACAGGAAACUUUCCUUAAUAUGUAGAUUUGUAAAUAAUUUAUUUUCUUAGCCUCCUGAAGUAUGACCAUUUUAUUUGCUUGGCAGCACGCAAGGCCAGAAUCCACUAUGCUACAAACUCAAAGGACAUCAAUUCUCCUCUCUUUUCUCUCCAACAUGUUCAGACUGUAAUACAUGUUUAAUAUGAUACAUUGUACAGCGGGAAUACGAAUCAAAAUACUGUGUAAUUAUUUUUCAAUAUUUUAAUUCAAAUCUUUUUCAGAUCAUGUCCUUGUGAUGCCAAACAUUUAUGAAAUAUGGAGAGUACCCUUGUCAAGUCUAAGUUGAAAAUUAGACACUUGUUCAUUUUGAUGUAAAUACAUGAAACUUAAUAUCCUCCAGUCCAGUACCAUUUUCUUCCUGUUUGUCAAUUCAGUGUUAUUGAUCACUAAUGAUUCAUACAAGUGAAAAUGUUAUCAUUAUUUUCCUGAAUUGCACUUAAUUUGACAUGACAAGGUCUCACAUUUUAACAAUAAACAUAAUAAACAUUUGAAUGAUUGUAUUGCGUUUUAGGGAGGGCUUUUGCCUGAUAUGUGU
ensembl:lncRNA